CUUCUAUCACGCCUGAAAAUAAGCAAUUGAUGAGUAAUGCGCUCGCAUGGAUGCGAGCCAAGCCACGCUGGCACAUGGAUGAGCCUUCGUGGCGGUUACGUUCACAUCAAUUGAUUAUUUGAAGAAACAGCGUGAUAGUUA
rfam:Pseudoalteromonas luteoviolacea S4054 contig_34, whole genome shotgun sequence.